CUUGGGUCUGCAUAAGCAACAGGGAGCAUCAGGAAAGAAGUUAGGUUGUCAAUAAAAGGGCCACGAGAGAGAGAGAAGAGAACUUGAAGAGACAAUAAAGGACACAAUUUGCUGCUUUCUGAAUCACUGAUGAAUCUGAGUCAGUUAAGGUAUAAAUGCUUCAAAAGUAAAUAGUAUGAAUGGCAAGAAUGGACUCUUGUUAAGUACUUUCUAAUAGUAGAAUUUGCAUUUAUUAUAAACCUGCAUCGAUGUUGCACUU
rnacentral:lncRNA from 1 species